rnacentral:rRNA from 1 species
AGAGUUUGAUCAUGGCUCAGAACGAACGCUGGCGGCAUGCCUAACACAUGCAAGUCGAGCGCCCGUAGCAAUACGGGAGCGGCGCACGGGUGAGUAACGCGUGGGAACCUGCCCAGAGGUCUGGGACAACCGCGGGAAACUGCGGCUGAUACCGGAUGAUUCCUGAGGGACAAAGAUUUAUCGGUCAAGGACUAGCCCGCGUUAGAUUAGCUAGUUGGUGAGGUAAUGGCUCACCAAGGCUACGAUCUAUAGCUGGUCUGAGAGGAUGAUCAGCCACACUGGGACUGAGACACGGCCCAGACUCCUACGGGAGGCAGCAGUGAGGAAUAUUGGACAAUGGGGGCAACCCUGAUCCAGCCAUGCCGCGUGAGUGAUGAAGGCCUUCGGGUUGUAAAACUCUUUUAGAUGUGACGAUGAUGACGGUAACAUCAGAAAAAGCUCCGGCUAACUUCGUG